rnacentral:rRNA from 1 species
CCUACGGGUGGCAGCAGUGAGGAAUAUUGGUCAAUGGACGAGAGUCUGAACCAGCCAAGUAGCGUGAAGGAUGACUGCCCUAUGGGUUGUAAACUUCUUUUAUAUGGGAAUAAAAUGUUCCACGUGUGCGUUUUUGUAUGUACCAUAUGAAUAAGGAUCGGCUAACUCCGUGCCAGCAGCCGCGGUAAUACGGAGGAGACGAGCGUUUUCCGGAUUUAUUGGGUUUAAAGGGAGCGUAGUUGGGUUGUUAAGUCAGUUGUGAAAGUUUGCGGCUCAACCGUAAAAUUGCAGUUGAAACUGGCAGUCUUGAGUACAGUAGAGGUGGGCGGAAUUCGUGGUGUAGCGGUGAAAUGCUUAGAUAUCACGAAGAACUCCGAUUGCGAAGGCAGCUCACUGGACUGCAACUGACACUGAGGCUCGAAAGUGUGGGUAUCAAACAGGAUUAGAUACCCGAGUAGUC